rnacentral:lncRNA from 1 species
UCAGCUUUGUCAAACGAAUCCACCCAUUGUUGGCAAGGGUAGUGCAAUGGCGUAUCCAAGAUGUUUCCAAAAAAGACAAUAAAGUUGCUGAUUAUCUUACAAAAAUGGUUCGUAACAAUGAGGACGCUUUACAAUUGUUUCAACAACCUCCAAGAGGGGUUUUAGUUUAAGGUUAUUUGAUUUGUAUGUUAUGUUUUCUUAUCACCAAAAAAACCAUUAUACUAUAAAUUAUACAAACACUCAUGGGAUCAAUGAUUAUUAUAGGUAAAAAAAUCUAAGAAGAACACAUAGCCCACAAGAAUUUAAUCUUUGUUAUGAACUCCCACUGAAUUACAAUGAUUUUAGCAUCAUUGACAUUCCAUUUGAAUGGAUUUGAUUACACCAUUGUAGAGCAAUAUGUGAAUGUUCAAUCUGCUGAUGAACAAUGUACCAAAGAAUCCAGCAGUAAGUGCUGCUGCUCUAUGAUUUGGGAUACCGUUCCUGUAAUACCAAUUAUUUGCCCUGCCCAAUCAAUAAUAAAAUACAAUAGCAGGCCCAAUAAAAUUAAAACCCAAUAGCCGAUUUCAACCCUAGUCCAACAGAAAAUGCCCCAAAACACCAGCAAGAAGCCUAGGCGCAGCAGCUCCCACACGCACGCCGCAACAGCGCCCGCACACCGUGUUUGUCGCUCCGCGCCCGUCGCGCGCACUCCACGGUCACCAAACCUGCGAAAAAGGGGUACACAAGCACAGCAAAUAACAGAAAGAAGUGGGGUUUUUGAUUUUUUUUUUCAGAUUUUUAGUUUUAAUCGGCUAUAUAAAGUCGAUGAAAGUCUGUAACAAAGGGGGAGGGACUUUUUUCGGUGUAAAAUAUAUUCGAAAACAGAGAGAAUAUUGAGAAUACAAAGAAUAUUUUUCAAAAGGUGAUUUUAUUUUUUCCGAUUUUUCUUUGAUUUUACUGUUUUUUUAUUAUUAUUUUGCUAUCUUCUUCUUUUCUUUCUCCUUUUAAAAAAUAAUAAUAAACAAAACGAAAAGGAUAAGCAAAGGAGGACUUACUAUCGUGAGGGUCGUCGGGAGACCUCUCCUUUUUGUCGUUAUCGGAGUGAAAGGAGUCUGAAAUGGCAUAGAGGGAGAGGAGCUGCGGCAAUUUCAAAAGUGGCAGAAGAGAGUUAUUUUUAGGGUUUGAAAUGGGUUUUAUUGGCUGCAAAUGAAAUGGAUUUUAACUUUUAAACAUUGAUGGGUUAUUUUCGUUUAUAAUCCUUUCAUGUUUCCCAUCAUUUCAAAACCAUUGUUUUUAUCGUUUUCAAAUUUUUCCAUGACAUAUUAAAUCUGUUCUAUUUUAAUCCCAUGCUGCACAACGUUUUGGAAGGGAGGGAUUAAUUUCCCUUCUGGCCCUCCAUGUUGCACGCAUUUUGCGAAUUCAUCCUCUGCUUUAAUUUGAUUUUGUGUUUUAAUUCUGUUUUGAUUCAAAUUUAGUCCAUUGUAUUUGCUUUUACAAAUUAGAUUAUAUAUUAGUUUGUAAUAUUGUUCUUGUUAUUAAGUUGCUGUUAUUUUUGUUAUUAUAUUAUAUAUUACUAUUAUUAUUAUUAUUAUACAUAUAUACACGCAUAUGUUUGUAUUUUAUAUAUGUAUAUAUAUUUUAAAUGUUUUUAAAAUACGUGUACAUAUUUUAUAUAUUUUAUUACUAUAUUAUCUUCUUAGUUUUUUAUAUAUAGUUUAUAUAUGUAUAUAAAUUUACAUUUUAUAAUACAUAUACAUUUUUCCAUUUUAUAAUUCAUACAUAUUUUCACAUACAUGUAUAUAUUUUCGUAGUUUAUUUAUAUAUUAUAUAUAUUGUUUUGUUUUUCUUUGUAAAUAUAUAUAUGCGUAUUUUUAUACUUUUAUUUUGUUUUCAACACAUGUAUUUGUAUUUGUUUUAUUUGAUAUAUUCCAUUCUCUCUUUUUAGAUGUAUGCUGGUAUGUGUGUUUGAUAUAUGUGUACAUAUGUUUGCAACUUUACUGAUAUAUUGUAUUUGUAUAUAUAUAUUUGCGAAUAUUUAUUCGUAUAUGCUGUAAAUUAAAGGAUCUGUAUCAUAUUGCAUAAUAACUUUAACAUACCCUUUUGAAAAUAUUUUUUGGUUUUAACCAUUCAUCAAGGUUAUUUUCUUGAUUUAAAGGUUUUUUUUUUUGAAUAAAAGCAUUAUUUGAGGUUUGGGAUUUUCGAGGGAAAUUGAGCCCUAACGUAUUGGGUUCUAAUUUUCUUUGUCAAUUUUAAAUGACCGAGAAUAUUCUUUAUUCAAAAUGCAUUAGUAUAAAAAUCAUUUUUGGGAACUUAACUUGUUGUGCCCUAACGUAUUGGGUGUGGCCUGUUACUUUCUCGAAAUGAAGAUUUUCGCAUAAAAUAAAAGUGAUAUUCAAAGUUCAGGGAUUAUGAGGAAUCAUACCCUAACGUAUUGGGACCCGAUUUCUUUACAUGACUUGAACAAUUGGUUAUCCUUUUGCAAAUUUCAUCAUUCAAGCUUAUUUUUAAAUUUUUUUUAAAUUUCGACACUAAGACAUCAAAUAAUCAAUUUGGUACCGAUUUUGGGCGUUACGAUGGUGCUAACCCUUCCUCGUGCGUAACUGACUCCCAGACUCGUUUUCUCAAAAUUCAUAGGCCAAAAUAUUUUUUUAAGGUGGGCCGAUCACACCUUAAUAAAAGGAUCGGUGGUGACUCCAGUUUUAUUUUUUUUUUAAAGUCGACAACUAAGUUUUUGUUUUCAAAAAACGGUUUCGACAGCUUGGCGACUCCGCCGGGGACACUAGAGAGUCGAGCCAUGAAUUGAUUAUGUUUUGUCUUUUUGUCGAAAAUCAAAAGUUUUUAAAAAAAUCAUGAUUUCCCUUCGCAUUCAUUGAUCUUUUAUCAUGGAAUGUCGGCUACUUUGCAUUUACAUUUGCAUUUUUACAUUGCAUGGUCCGUUUUACCCCUUUAAGUGGGAGCGAGAAACUAGUCCUUCGUGAGGUUUUCACCUCCGUGCAGGGUAGUGGACCGCUUCCGGGAUACAUCCGUACCUAUGUCUUCGUGAGAUUUUCAUCUCCGUGCAGCCAUAGGGAAAUGUAUCCCCCUGAACCGAACUCGAUCUAUAUGAGCCUAUAAUGGGUGAAGAUCGAGGAAUCUGCUGGUUCGGGUACCUUUACCUUAGAAGCCAAACCGCAUAUAGUGAACUUUAGGAACUUACCCUAGGUAGAAUUACUCUAAACCUUAGUAGAUACCUGACUAGGAGUUUUUAUUAUUUCUUGAUUGUAUUGGAUUUAAUGUUUAUACCCGAUACUAACUCAUUUUGUUUUGUUUUGGUUAUGAUUGCAUUGUAUUUGCAUUGUAGAAAAGAGAUGUUGAUUCAAGUUUGAUUACUAGUUUAGAAAGCCUAUCAUAAGAAAACGGGUUUCUUGAUAAAAUGGAAAAUAGUACGGCAGCCUGAAUAUAUUCCAAGAAAUACAAGAAGGGCGAUGGAAGAAUUCGUGACUUUACUUUGAGGCCCGAGGAUUCAAGAUGAUUUGUCUAAGAGCAUUCAACAUUCCAAAUUUCUUAAAGAAGCUAAUGAGCAUUACGAGGAUAGGCAGACAACGGAUUGCGACCAGAAUCAAGCAGAAGGAGCUAGCAGUGACAUCUAUUGGAAGUUCGCGAGGUUUAUCUUAACAUCCGAAUGAAAAAGGAGAAGAUGUCUUCGCUUCGAGUAUGAGGGCAAAGCCGUAUAUAUAUCCGCUUUAUGUAAAGAAAUUUGUCCUCUAGUAAGGUUUUCUAAAUGGAAUUGAAUCAGAAUCAACGUCUCUUUAUGCAUUCAUUUCAUGCAUUCGCAUUUCAUUACAUCAUAUGCAUCAAAGAUUAUUCAAAGAUCCUAAUUAACUAAAAUCAUUGCUCAGUUAACCUGGAAUCCAACCAACCAACCCAACACCGAUACGGCACUCGAGCAAAGACAAAAUAUAUGGAUCAGAGAUUAGAAAAGCUCGAACAGUACCAGAAGGAGAUGCAAGACCGGCUUCAGCUACAAAUGCAGGAGUGGUUAGACAAGAUGAAACAAGAGAUGUCUGAGAAGAUGCGAGAAUCCCAAGAAGAUAUAGUGGCAAAGUUAACCCAACUGAUAACUAAGGGAAGUGAUAAAGGAAAGGGCCCCAUGGCAAAUGUCGAUGAGGGAAAUGAUGAUGAACCUUUCUAUCCUCCAGGUCUUACCCCUCCACAUGUGCGAACUCAAGCUGAAUACCCGCGCAAAUCUACUGUCACCAUCAUGCCGCAGCAGUUUCGGGCUGGUGUUUCGAACUCCCAGGCUGGACCGGGUUCUAAUCUCGAAAAUAACCCUGUUAACUCUGUCAUUCCUGACUUUGAUGAAGUGGUUGAGAAGGAAAGAAUGAAGGAGGAGCUACCGAAAUAGUUAGAGGAAAGGUGUAGGUGGCUAGAGGAGAAAUUCAAGGCGAUGGAAGUCACUGAAAGCUAUCGCGGGAUUGACGCUAAAGAGCUAAGUUUAGUUCCAGGUUUGGUACUCCCUCACAAGUUUAAGAUGCCAGAAUUCGAGAAGUACAAUGGGACAACUUGCCCAGAAGCUCAUAUCGCCAUGUUCUGCAAACGAAUAGCGGGAUAUGUUAACAACGACCAACUCCUGAUACAUUGUUUCCAAGACAGCCUUGUAGGGGCAGCAUCCAAAUGGUACAAUCAGUUGAGUCGUGCCACGAUUGGUUCAUGGAGGGACCUGGCACAAUCGUUCAUGAAACAAUAUAGUCAUGUGACAGACAUGGCUCCUGAUAGAAUCACCCUUCAAAACAUGGAGAAGAAACCGAGUGAAAGCUUCAGGCAGUACGCACAGAGAUGGAGGGAGGUUGCGGUCCAAGUUCAGCCACCGCUCUUAGAGAAAGAAAUAACCAUGCUGUUCAUUAACACACUGAAGGCACCAUUCAUUAUACAUAUGUUAGGGAGUGCCACAAAAAGCUUUCCCGACAUAAUCAUGAAUGGUGAGAUGAUCGAAAAUGCCAUAAGAAAUGGAAAGAUCGAUGCUGGAGAGAGUAACAAGAGGUCAGUCUCAAGGAGAAGAGAAGAUGAAGUGAACAACAUGAGUUACUCUAAAUCAGUUACUGUAAGUCAGCCAAGAAAGGUGGCUGCUAACCAGCAAGGUUCAUCAAGACAAGAAGCUGGUACAGGACAAAACACAGAGAGGCCCCGAUUCACGCCAAUUCCAGUACCAUAUAGGAAACUGUAUCAAAAUCUGUUUGAUGCCCAUGUUGUUUCUCAUUUUCCUGUGAAGCCUCUACAACCUCCGUAUCCCAAAUGGUAUGAUACGAACGCGCAAUGUGAAUACCAUGCGGGAAUUACGGGACACUCGAUUGAGAAUUGCACUGCCUUCAAGAAGUAAGUUGAAAGACUCAUCGACAUGGGUGUUGUCAAGUUUGGUGACUCAUCAAGUACCGAAAAUCCAUUACCCAAUCAUGAUUGAUAAUGGAGGGAAUGCAAUGCUUUCUGGUCAGAUAUUCGCCUGGGAGGUGUUAAAAAUAAUGGGACUGCAGAGGAAACCCCUAUAUUAUUUAGAGUCUGUUAAAGUAAUGUUCAGAACACAUUUGUUGCUUUUAGCCUAGAAGAAAUGAGAACUCCUUUGUGAAAUAGGCUCAUGUCUGAACAUUAUUAUUUUUAAUGAAUACAUUAUUGCAAUCAUCUUUGAGCAAAUGUUCUUUCAGUCUUUACGUUUUCUUCAUUCUAUUGGAUUUCUCCUGCCAAAUCAUUCAUUCGUUCAUUCAUAUUACUCAUACAUUCUUUUUUAUAUUUUUUGGUACCCACUAUGGGUCCCCAAAUAUCAAUGACAUGAAUGACGCUGCUACAGAUUUAGAAUCUCCUUUUGAGUGAGACAUGUGUUUAGAGGGAUCUCACAACUUUGAAGAUGGCAUGGAUCGUAUCUUAUUUCUGGACUUAUUAAGGAUGGUAGAGCAGGAAGAAAAUUUUACCUCAUGAGGAGACAAUAGAAACUGUGACCUUGAGGGAACAUGCAUGACCGAAAAAGCAAUACGUUGUUGGGUUACUUCAAGCAUUCGAAGAUGCCUUCGCAUGGUGAUACCAGGAUGUACCCGGUUUAAGCGCCGUCAUUGCAAUCUGAACAACAGCACGAUAUCAGAAAUUUACAGUAUGUUCAAGGUGAAUAUCAUGAAUGGUGCAAUGAAAACUCUACCGGGGCAAUGCCACUCUUUCCAGUUUAUCGCGUUUUUUUAUUGAAGUUGAAAUUCUUUCUCUUCGAGUUUUGGCUGAGGUGAAGUAGGAUGAAGAUCCAAUCCCGAUACGACUAGUUAAACCUAGUUGAAGAAAAAGGCUAGAAACUAUUCAUCAAGGUCAGAUAUACCAAGAAAUGAAUGAUGCGAGCCUAUAAUAAAAGGUUUGUCCUAGAGAAUUCCACGAUGGCGACCUAAUACUGAAGAAGCUCCUCACUCUACAAAAAAAUAUAACGGAUGCCAAAUUAGGAAAAACCUUAUGUUAUAGAGAAGGUCUUUUCCAAAGGAGCUUUAAUUUUGAGUAAGAUGGAUGAUAAACCUGCAAAGUCCUGUAAACUCAGAUUCAGUCAGGAAAUACUUUGCUUAAAGAAGGAGAGGACCAAGGUAAAAACCCGCAAAGGGCAGUUUGAGUCUCAAAAAAAAAGGAAAAAAGAAAAAAAGAAGUGAUGAAAAUGAAAAUGAAAAAGUAAAAAUAGAGAGGCUAAGGUGAAAACUCGCAAAGGGCGCCUUAGACCAAAGGGGAUUUGAGUUGAAAACCCAAAAAGGGCGGCUCAAAUAUUGAUCAGAAUGGGGCAUGAAGUAAUCAGAGCAGCUCAAAUACUGAUCAGAAUGGGAUAUGCAGUGGUCUUGCUAUACCAGAAUCAGCAGGAAAGGGUAUGCGACAUCUUGGGGCAUCGGUAGAGUAUGGUAGAUCUCCUAAACACAUGUCAAACCCAGAAAGGUCUUCAGCAAGUUUGUACAGAAAAGUUCAAGCUACGAUAUCUGGGGCACCUAAUCCUUAUACCAUUUUUGUUAUUCUUGGAACACUUCAUUCAUUUCCAAGAUACACAUUUCUAAAUCCAUUUCUUUGUCAUUUAUCUUUAUUAUCUUUGACAACUUAUUCAUUUCAAGCUAUGCUCAGAACCAACUCUAUUCUUAUCCAUAAUCUUUUUUGCAAGCAUGUUGCAUUAGAAUAAUGAUUAAUGGACUAAUAAAACUUUCACAAGGGAAGUUUUGCAUAUUACUCUAAAAGCUUCUAAAUAAUAUAGGAACCUCAAACAGGACUAUUGUUUAGAACGCACCAGGUUGGAAAUCUGAUAAGGAAAAGUCUAAAUUCAGACUAUCCCUUUGAGUUUUUGCUAUCUAAAACAUCGAUUGAACAAUACGGCAAGAUGUCGUGUUGGUGACAAAGCUUCAAUGAACAAGCAAGCAAUGAUCACCGAAUAAUAAGAAGAAGUUGUUCUUGGAGAAGAUUUCUUCAUUUGUACAUGAGCAUUUGGUGCAUCACCCUGGGAAUGGUGUAAAAAACCAAAAAGUUUCAUAUCAUGUAUCCUUGAAUUGUGAUAAUAGAGGAUUGAGAAAAGGCCAAAUCUUUUACUCUUGGGUUACAACGGGAAAAGAUGGUACAAAUUUUGCAUCCCAGUGGAUCAAACUUGGAGGUUUACAGUGGGAGGUAAUCUGGUCAAGUGCUUAUUGGGUUCGCCAACCGAGCAUAAAGGCGCUAUAGUACAUUAAGCGAUAGGACCUUAAUAAACUUGGAGUAAUAAUAACUCAAGCGUUAAAAUAUCAUUUUCAUGACAUUCUGCAUUCAUUCAAAUGUCAUUCAUACAUGUCUAGUUAGGAGCAUUGGAUUUAUUAUGAUCAUGACAUCCUAAUAACUAGGCAUAAUUAGGUUCAUAAAGUGAAUCAUACAGGUCAUGUUCCCCAGAGAACAGAUCGGUGAAAUCAUAAAGUCUUAUCUCCCUGAGCAACAACGGAGCAGGCUGAAAAGAAAAGCAGAUCUUGUCUUCAUGUACUGGAGUGAAGUAGAUCAAAGAUACCAGAUCUUGUUUUCCCAUACUGGUGGUGAAGUAGAUCGAAAAAGUAGAUCUUGUCUUCAUGUACUGGCGUGAAGUAGAUCAAAGAUACCAGAUCUUGUCUUCCCAUACUAAUGGCGAAGUAAAUCAGAAAAAACAGAUCUUGUUUUCAUGUACUGGCGUGAAGUAGAUCAAAGAUAGCAGAUCUUGUCUUCCCAUACUGGUGGCGAUGUAGAUCGAAGAAAAUAGAUCUUAUCUUUAUGUACUGGCGUGAAGUAGAUCAAAGAUAGCAGAUCUUGUCUUCCCAUACUGGUGGCGAAGUAGAUCGAAGAAAAUAGAUUUUGUCUUCAUGUACUGGCGUGAAGUAGAUCAAAGAUAGCAGAUUUUAUCUUCCCAUACUGGUGGCGAAGUAGAUCGAAGAAAAUAGAUCUUGUCUUCAUGUAAUGGCGUGAAGUAGAUCAAAGAUAGCAGAUCUUGCUUUCCCAUACUGGCGGCGAAGCAGAUCGAAGAAAGUAGAUCUUGUCUUCAUGUACUGGCGUGAAGUAGAUCAAAGAUACCAGAUCUUGUCUUCCCAUAUUGGUGGCGAAGCAGAUCGAAGAAAACAAAUCUUGUCUUCAUGUAUCGGCAUGAAGUAGAUCAAAUACAACAGAUAUUGUCUCCCCAUACUGGUGGUGGAGUAGGUCAAAGAAAACAGAUCGUGUUUUCAUGUACUGACGUGAAGUAGAUCAAAGAUAGUAGGUCCUGUCCUCCUAUAUUGGUAGCGAAGUGGAUCGAAUAUACAUAUUUUAUCUUCCCAUACUGGCGGCGAAGUAGAUUGAAGAUUACAGAUCUUGCCUCCCUAAGUAGUAGUGGAGCAGAUCGAAGAUGGCGGAUUUUACCUCCCUGAAGUUGCAGUGGAGUACAUUGAGGCCAGUAAUUCUUACUUCCUUAGCAGUGCAGUGGAACAGAUUGAAGCUACGACGGCGGAUCUGGUUUCCCCGACAUUGCAGUUGAACAAAUUGAAGUUUACAGAUCUUAUCUCCCUAAACAGUAGUGGAGCAGAUCGAAGAUGGCGGAUUUUACCUCCCUGAGGUUACAGUGGAGUACAUUGAAGCUAGUAAUUCUAUCUCCCUGGGUAGCAGUGGAAUAGAUUGAAAAUUACAGAUCUUAUCUCCCUAAGCAGUAGUGGAGCAGAUCGAAGAUGGCAGAUUUUACCUCCCUGAAGUUGCAUUGGAGCAGAUUAAAGUCUAUAAUCCUAUCUCCUUGAAGUUGCAAUGGAGUGGAUUAAAACCACAGAUCUCAUCUCUUUGAAGUUGCAGCAGAGCAGAUCGUAUCAGAUUUAUUUUGUAGCAGAACAAGUUGAAGCUAUAAGUCUUAUCUUCCUAAAGUUGCAGUGGAGCAGAUUAAAGAUAGCAAAUUUUGUUCUUCUGAGAAGUUACAAUGUACGAAUCAUAUCUCUCUGACAUUGCAGUAGAGUAGAUUGAAACACCAGUUCCUAUACCUCUGAAGAUGCAGUAGGAAUGAACGAGACUACUAAUGCUAAGGUCCAUACGGCCAGGCAAAAAUUGGUCUUUUUAAGUCUUUGCUCCAUUCUCGUCACACGAUAACGAGCAAAGAGGGGCAGCUGUAAUACCAAUUAUUUGCCCUGCCCAAUCAAUAAUAAAAUACAAUAGCAGGCCCAAUAAAAUUAAAACCCAAUAGCCAAUUUCAACCCUAGUCCAACAGAAAAUGGCCCAAAACACCAGCAAGAAGCCUAGGCGCAGCAGCUCCCACACGCACGCCGCAACAACGCCCGCACACCGUGUUUGUCGCUCCGCGCCCGUCGCGCGCACUCCACGGUCACCAAACCUGCGAAAAAGGGGGACACAAGCACAACAAAUAACAGAAAAAAGUGGGGUUUUUGAUUUUUUUUUCAUAUUUUUAGUUUUAAUCGGCUAUAUAAAGCCGAUGAAAGUCUGUAACAAAGGGGGAGGGAUUUUUUUCGGUGUAAAAUAUAUUCGAAAACAGAGAGAAGAUUGAGAAUACAAAGAAUAUUUUUCAAAAGGUGAUUUUAUUUUUUCUGAUUUUUCUUUGAUUUUACUGUUUUUUUUAUUAUUUUGCUAUCUUCUUCUUUUCUUUCUCCUUUUAAAAAAUAAUAAUAAACAAAACGAAAAGUAUAAGCAAAGGAGGACUUACUAUCGUGAGGGUCGUCGGGAGACCUUUCCGUUUUGUCGUUAUCGGAGUGAAAGGAGUCUGAAAUGGCAUAGAGGGAGAGGAGCUGCGGCAAUUUCAAAA